AACGUGAAGUCGCUCAGUCGUGUCCGACCCUUGGCAUGGACUGCAGCCCACCAGGCUCCCCCGUCCAUGGGGCGUGCCAGGCAAGAGUACUGGAGUGGGGCGCCAUUGCCUUCUCCAGGAGGUCUCUAGUACCUUCUAAACAUGUGCCGUACCGCAUGAGAGGAAGUACGACACGAGGAAGCGCAUGCUUGUUGUUUGGCAGCCAUUCUUUUCUGAGAGAAUUUGGUUAUAACUUAGAAAAGCAAGACAACGUGAGAGAAAAAUAACUUUAAAAAAAGCAACACUUGUUUUCCUCAGAAGGCACCACCUGUAGGUUCUCUGAAGGGAGGCAACGGGUUGGUGCUAGAGGACGACCUUUGGGGGAGUAGAAGAGAGGGUCAGCCCGACCGCGCCUGCGUGACGGGGCUCCUGGAGCCGAAGGCCGGGCUCCAGCGGUUGUGGUGCCCGCGCCCGCUCCUGGCACAGUGAACACGUUCCGGCCCCACGGGAAGGCGGACGCGGGGAAGGAGGUGAGGCGACGGUCGCUGCGACAGCCGGGGCUGUAACCAGCGGGGAGACAGGCACACGUGGGCACGUGUGCUUCCCUUAGUCCGCCCCUGUACCCUCUCCUCAGUGGCUCUUAAAGAAUCCUGUGUGGGGUUCGACAGAGUGUUGGGGAUACCAACGCAAACGAGACAAGGUGCCCAACCCCAAAACUCCGACGAGAUGAGCCACGCAGGAGGAGCGCCUCUGCGUCUAUGGAGCCAGGAGAGACUGCGUUGAGAGGACAGCUGUCAGGAGAGCUCUAAAGACAGCCGAUAGAGGGUGUUAUUAUCUACAGUCUGCCACAUGGUGAAAAUGACCUGCCUUUGAAGAGCUGAGACAGAGGGCUGAAGCUGUACAGUUCUGCCAGGAAGUGCAUGAACAACUAACUACUGUAAAAUGUUGGUUAAUGCUAAGAGGAAGCAGAAUUGAAAGGGAGUCAUAGGGAUCGGUAAGUGAAAUCUAGGUUCUAGUAAAUCCUGCCACUGUCCAACUAAAUAGGGUGAUUAUGGAGAAAUUGCUCAAUUUUUGAUAGACUUUAGUUUCCUUAUUUAUAUUAGGUUGAAGCCUACACACAUUUUAAAAAGACCAGAAGUUAAAAUUUAAAUGAAAUGAGAUAGUUGGAUCAGUGUGACCACAGGAGACAUUAUUGUCUAUUAUUUUCUGUAAUUUGAUAACCUUCCAUGAAAAAGUUUAGCAAUGAUCAAUGGCGAUAACCUGGAAAGAUCACAAAAAUCAGUCACUCCCCUGGGAGCUGAGUUACUUGGUAUUUACAUAGGCUGAUUCCUCCCAAUCAGAAGCAUCAUAUGGGGAUUUUCUAUUGUUUCUGUGUGCUAGGUCAGGGCUUUAAACUUGUAUACCAAAAACAAGGAAGCAGCAUACUAAAGUCUUACUUCACCUGGAUAUGUGACAAAUUUUAAAUGAGGGCAGACAUGGAAAACUCAAGAAAAUUGAUCUAAAUUUUGUUUUCCUCUUACUUUUUAUCCCAACUGCAGGGCCAUUUCUAGGAGUGAUUGUCUCAUGUGAAGUCCACAGAUGUCUUUGCU